UGAGGAAUAUUGGUCAAUGGGCGCAAGCCUGAACCAGCCAUCCCGCGUGCAGGAAGACGGCCCUAUGGGUUGUAAACUGCUUUUCCAGGGGGAGAAUUUUUCUGUCGUGACAGGAAUUGACGGUACCCUGGGAAUAAGCAUCGGCUAACUCCGUGCCAGCAGCCGCGGUAAUGCGGAGGAUGCGAGCGUUAUCCGGAUUUAUUGGGUUUAAAGGGUGCGUAGGCGGAUUGAUAAGUCAGUGGUGAAAACCUGCAGCUUAACUGUAGACUUGCCGUUGAUACAGUCAGUCUUGAGUGUGGUCAAGGUAGGCGGAAUGUGUAAUGUAGCGGUGAAAUGCUUAGAUAUUACACAGAACACCGAUUGCGAAGGCAGCUUACUGGGCCAUUACUGACGCUGAUGCACGAAAGUGUGGGGAUCGAACAG
rnacentral:rRNA from 1 species